rnacentral:rRNA from 1 species
UGGGGAAUAUUGCGCAAUGGGGGCAACCCUGACGCAGCAAUACCGCGUGAGUGAAGAAGGUUUUCGGAUCGUAAAGCUCUGUUAUUGGGGAAGAAGAAGUGACGGUACCCAAUGAGGAAGUCCCGGCUAACUACGUGCCAGCAGCCGCGGUAAUACGUAGGGGACAAGCGUUGUCCGGAAUCACUGGGCGUAAAGGGCGCGUAGGCGGUUUUUUAAGUCAGAUGUGAAAGGUACCGGCUCAACCGGUGACGUGCAUUUGAAACUGAAAGACUUGAGUACUGGAGAGGCAAGUGGAAUUCCUAGUGUAGCGGUGAAAUGCGUAGAUAUUAGGAGGAACACCGGUGGCGAAGGCGGCUUGCUGGACAGAUACUGACGCUGAGGUGCGAAAGCGUGGGGAGCAAACAGG